rnacentral:rRNA from 1 species
GGGGAAUUUUGGACAAUGGGCGCAAGCCUGAUCCAGCCAUGCCGCGUGUCUGAAGAAGGCCUUCGGGUUGUAAAGGACUUUUGUCAGGGAAGAAAAGGCUGUUGCUAAUAUCGACAGCUGAUGACGGUACCUGAAGAAUAAGCACCGGCUAACUACGUGCCAGCAGCCGCGGUAAUACGUAGGGUGCGAGCGUUAAUCGGAAUUACUGGGCGUAAAGCGGGCGCAGACGGUUACUUAAGCAGGAUGUGAAAUCCCCGGGCUCAACCUGGGAACUGCGUUCUGAACUGGGUGACUAGAGUGUGUCAGAGGGAGGUAGAAUUCCACGUGUAGCAGUGAAAUGCGUAGAGAUGUGGAGGAAUACCGAUGGCGAAGGCAGCCUCCUGGGAUAACACUGACGUUCAUGCCCGAAAGCGUGGGUAGCAAACAGGAUUAGAUACCCUGGUAGUCCACGCCCUAAACGAUGUCGAUUAGCUGUUGGGCAGCAUGACUGCUUAGUAGCGAAGCUAACGCGUGAAAUCGACCGCCUGGGGAGUACGGUCGCAAGAUUA